UGUACGGAGGGGUGGGAGCACUCGAGGGGGAAGCAGGCCGUCAGGCUGGGUGGGAGUGUGGGGCCGUGAUGGUGGUCUUGGGAGCUGGGCUGGAGAGGGUCCAGCCAGCGUGCUGGCAGCCCUAGCAGGGCGGGAUGGCAGUGCGUGUGGUGAGGACGCUCAUCAGGGGUGCGUGAGGGGGAGCUGGGCUUCACUUCUGAGCCUCCACUCCAGAGUCCUCUCCUCGCUCCCACCCCUCACUGUGCAGCCUGACCUGCACGUGGACGGUCACUCCCCAGCCCCCGCUGUGUCCCCUGCCCACAGUGGGUGGAUUCGGGGGCCACCACCUAACUAGUGGUGAGUCCUGGAUCGCCAGGCUCAGUUCCUGUAGAGAGGGAGCCCCCAGGGAUCCAGAUCUGCCUCUCAGGUGUGGGUGUUCAUGGCUGCUGCCUCCGGAGUCUCUCGUUGUCAAUGUGGGCCAGUGGCAUCGGUGGCCUCAGCGUAGAGACCCAGGAGUUAGCAGGAUCUGCCAUUUCAUGGAGAGAUGAUUUGAGGAACAGACCUGGGUUUUCAUCCUUUGUGUGCCUGCUGUGUCUCUUAGGGCAGGACAGGUGUUGACAUUAAACAAAUGUGAGCAAAUAUCUGGUGGUCCAUUUUCUAUACAGAAUGGACAAUUACACCUCACUGACUUGCAGAUGUAUCAUAAUUCACUAGGCAAACUGAAUUUUUAUGGAGUAGUCAAUCCACACGUGGAUAUGAAAUACACAGCAGGAAGGUUGAAGGUAACUUAGGUGAUGUGUGGGAAUAUUGUCACCCCAGAGAACUCAGGGGAUGAGGGCUGGGGAGGGGCCUGUGUGAUAGGAUGUAAAUUUCUUGUUAAUUGCUUCAGCUGUGCUUGCUCAGCAGCCUCUGAUCUUGCAAGGCCAACAAUAAAGUCUGACUUUCAGUGCAUUUCCUGAGUUCAGCUCCUCAGGGGACCGCUGAGGACAUUUCCACAAGCCUCCAGGCUUGUCCUGGGUGAGGACUCCAGCAGACGUGUCCUACCUGAUUUUGUACGGCCUGCUCUGUCCAGGUGCCCUGGGUCCCCACAGAAGCUGCAGAAAAACUUGAGAGUGCUAUUCAACAGACAGCAGAGGUGACGCAGGAAAGAAAAAGCCGGCACCAGGGCCACCAGGCAGUCUAGUGCACCAGUCAAGUCAGGGAAAAUGGACUGGAGCCAGACGAGCGCAAGUGAGGAGCAGCUGGAGCUGCGAGAAGUGUUAGAGUGCGAUCUUCGUGGCUGCAGCUGAUCGUUCCUCACCACAAUUCUAAAUUCUCCACCUAGGAGAGGACUGUGCCACCCCUUCUGAGGAUGCAAAGUAUGAAGAUGUGUGUUGCUUAUAUGUAUGAGCCAGGGGUGGGAGGGCAUCCCCCUCCCCUUUCCUACAUCUUGGAUGUCCCUAACCCUCACUAAGAAAGCCCUGGCAAACUGCUUCUUAGAGAGGCAGUUUGUUCGGGGAGCUAAACUUUCCCACAGUCUCCUUUGUUUGUUACAGUAGAUAAAGCUCCCCCACCCCAAGCAGCUCCCCUGGAGACUGAUUAUUGGGUGACACCAAGCAAAUGGAGCCCUUGAGUCCAUUAACAAAAUUGGUGACCCAUGCGGAGCCAUCCCCAGCCUAGGAUCCAGAGAACCAGGAACUGGGAGCAAAGCAGUUGACGCAGUGUUUGUCAAGGCUUGCAGUUGUCAUAUCUGUCCGUGUAGGAGCUGUCACUCAGUCCUGCCAGCCAGUGUUGCUGACUGAGCCACCCAAGGGAUGGAGAGCAGCCGGCCUCCUCUCUGUCCACAACUUGCCAGAAACAAAGGCUGAGUGAUUGGGGAUCGCUGCUUUGUUAGUGUCUCAGAGUUGCUGCGAGCCUAGCCAGGACAGGAAGUGCCUGAAGCCAGGACAGGAAGUGGCCAAAGCCAGGACAGGAAGUGGCCAAAGCCAGGACAGGAAGUGCCCGAAGCCAGGACAGGAAGUGCCCUAUCAGGAGGACCAGGAUCUGAAUGCUGGGCUUCGCUCUGGGAGAUGGAGCAGCACAAAAGGAGCGGUCCCAGCAGUCCCCAAGCCCUGUUUCUGGGCUACUUGACCCCAUCCUGCCCUGAUUGACAGGUGAAGGCCUAGAGACCUCCCCAGGAACCGGUCGACUCCAGUGACGGGGUGUUGAAUGACUCCGUGUUGGCCACAGUCCUUCCCUCUGGAGCCUGCCCCAGCAGUGCUGUGGGUGAGCAGCCUCCCAGUGCCCUCCAGCUGUCAGUCAGAGCAGCUGCCAAGGGAGGGGCACUGAGCCUCACUGUGCAUGGGAGGGAAGGCCAGAGCAGGCAGCAGGAGAGCCUGCAGGAGCCAUCUGAGCAAAGAACUGAACACAGGGACUCGAGUCCCGUCCCCGCGUGUGCCCAGCAGCACUGCUCAGCACGGCAGGAGGGGCCCAGCCCUGACGCCCCCAGCAGAGGAAGAGGCAGGCGCCAGCAGGUGGGUCGGUGCAGUGGAGCAGCGCUCAGCCAUGAACAGGAGUGGGGUCUGGCACCGCAGCUGCCCGGAGGAACCAUGAACACUGCCAGUGAGGUCAGAUGCACGAAGUCACGAGUGCGAGAUUUCAUUUCCAUCCAGCGUCCCAAGCAGGCAGUGCUGUAGACACAGGGGAUGGUCAGUGCUGGGGCGGGGGGUUAGCAUGGGGCUGAGGAGAGACCAGGAGUA